GGUUUAAAUCAUUCUUGAUAAUUUCUGAUCAUUGGCUCCGGACUAGAAUCCGAGCUACAGAUUUAAAGUAAUGGAAAUGGAAGGAUUGCAUCUAAAGUUCUGCAUUUUAGUGCUCGCAUUGGUAUUAUGUCCUUUUUCAAGUUAUGCAAACGUAUGGACAUUUUGCCCGAAAGAGCAAGAUAAAUGUCAUACUCGUUGCCAAGAAUAUGGUUUCUGGGCUGGAAGAUGUGGAUCUUUGGAUAAACUUGCCGAGUUGAAUAAAUUAUGUUUAUGUUUGAAGGAACCCAAUUGAGCCGAAUAGUUACGAGUAAAUUUAACUGUUAGUUUCGCAUCUUGUAAACGUUUUAUAUUAAAUUCUGAUAAUUUAUUAUUGCAUUUUUUAAAUAUAAUUCUUAAAAGUUAUUGUAUUAUUUGUUUAGCAAUCGAUUAAAACGCUUUACGU